rnacentral:rRNA from 1 species
UACGUAGGGGGGCGAGCGUUGUCCGGAUUUAUUGGGCGUAAAGAGCUCGUAGGCGGUUUGGUAAGUUGGAUGUGAAAUCUCCAGGCUCAACUUGGAGGGGUCAUUCGAUACUGCCAUGACUAGAGUUCGGUAGGGGAGUGUGGAAUUCCUGGUGGAGCGGUGAAAUGCGCAGAUAUCAGGAAGAACACCCGUGGCGAAGGCGGUUCUCUGGGACGGUACUGACGCUGAGACGCGAAAGCGUGGGGAGCAAACAGG